rnacentral:lncRNA from 12 species
AUUCAUUAGUACACACCCACCACCAGCUGUCUCUGCACUGGUUAAAUUCCUCUUACACCCAGAAACAAAAUUUGGAAUUGAACUUGUCCUCAAGGACGUGUGAAUUGUAUUAGCAUCCAAGUGAAAGUAAAAAGGUCCAUGUGCUGGUUGAAGAGCAAACAGUAAGCCUGAUAACUGAAGCUGGUUUUCUGUUACUUGUAAAUCAAGGAGUCCUAAAACAAAAAAUGGAUGUCACAAAAUAUUGACCGCAGCUCGCUGUUUUGCAUCAUGAAAGGAGGCUUAGCUGAAUACUACAAUCAAAGGACGACUCACAUAAUUAGAAAAAAAGCCCUGCUUUCUUCAUUAAAAAAAAUGAGAAUAAAUUUUCUGUCAUUCUUUGCUUGCAUACAUGUCUUAUCCCCUGAUGCUCAGUAAAGCUGAAUUUUCAAAUUUGUAACACUUCUUCAGGUCUCUGGGUUUGAUUAAUAAUAAUUGUCAGUCCAUUAAAAUGGAUUAUGAUGAUUCCCAAGGAAUUGGUUGUUAACAUAAUUAACAGCUGGCUUUACUUUCAAGACAUUAAUCAAAAGAGCAAGUUGCUGGAAAUGACCAGGUUCUCACAAAUGUUGCUAAUUAACAAAGGCAUUGAAGUUGUGUGACAAUGAUUCCUGAUGCUGUUAUCUGCAUGAUUGUAUCACAGCUUUAAAUGCCCCCAAUGUGAUAUGUUUUCUCAAGUGUUAUUAAGCCAACAGGCAUUUGAAUAAAUUUAAUUUAAAAGAAACA